GUUGCUCUUUUUCAAGUAUUUGUGCAAUAUAUAUAUUUAAUCUUUCUAGAGUUUUACAUUAAAUAGUAUACCGGAUGUCCCAAAAAAAAGUACGCCUGUUUGAUUCGUAAUAACUUCUAAACAAGUAAAGCUUUUUUAGAGAAAUAACUUGCAUUAAAUAGAGGAAGGCCUAACUUAGAUUUUGAUAUAUUACAGUUGUAUUACACUUAAAAAUUCACGGAGAUAUUAAUCUUUAAAAUCGGGAGCAUAUUUCUGGAUGUGUCUGAAAUAUGCAAAAAACGGCGUAUCAAAUAUUCAUCAAGAUUUGCCCGACCGAAACAUGCACUAUUUAUCAUUUAUAGACCCGGAGCGAGGGGGAUUCGGCGAAAUAUUUCCCGAAGUGAUGAUAUUUUGAUAAAUUUCACGAUCACAUGGCACAAAUCUAGCUUCCUGAUUGGACAAUUUGAAUUUGAGGUAUAAUAUUACCAGUAAAUAAACGACACUUGACAAAUUGUUUAUUAUGAAACAAAGUAUUAUUAUAUCACAAAAUACAAGCAAGAUUUAUUCGUCCGAAAUUCGCGUGUGUUCCUAGCACGAAUACGUUUCCUUAUUUCAUGAGACCACUGC
rnacentral:lncRNA from 1 species